GAGUUGACCCCGGCCCUCGGGCCGGGAUGUUCACAACCCUUUGUUGUCCGACUCUGUUGCCUCCGGGGCGACCCUGCCUCCGGGCGGGGGCCCCGGGUGGACAUUUCAAACUCUUGCGUAACUUUGCAGUCUGAGUAAAUUUAAUUAAUAAAUUA
rnacentral:misc_RNA from 1 species